rnacentral:lncRNA from 1 species
ACGUCCAAUCCAACUUGGCUGCAGUCUCUCUAUCGGCCUGGCGGAUAUCCGGGUCUCCAAUAAUACGUGGACUUUGCCACCCACAACAAAGGCGAUUAUACUGGACCUGGUCUGUACCACAGGUGUGAAUCCCUCAAGGCUCGGUUCUGGGGUCACUACUGUUUUGUAUCUACGUGCUGCUACUGGGUAACUUGAGGAAACACGGAUUGGGGCUUCACUUUAAUGCAGAUGAUACUCAGCUGUACAGUUGAAGUCGGGAAGUUUACAUACACUUAGGUUGGAGUCAUUAAAACUCGUUUUUAAGUGAAAUAAUCUGUCUGUAAACAAUUGUAUAUAGUGUGUAGUGUCAACGUCCCGACCUUCCAGGGAGGUUCAGCAGCUGCAGCCUCGGUAUUGAUGUUGUCCAGGGAGGUUCAGCAGCUGCAGCCUCGGUAUUGAUGUUGUCCAGGGAGGUUGUUAACCUGGGUUUAAUAUUUGACAGUCAGCUCUCUUUUGAGGCUCACAUCAAGAAUCUGACCAAAGUGUCAUUUUUCCAUCUGAACGUAACAUUGCCAGGUUACGGCCUAUCACAACCUGCAGCUGAGUGACUCCAUCCUUUAGUUCAUCCCUGUCUAGACGAUUGUAACGGCCUGUUUUUGAUGCAUCUGUCAGGUUUCUAAACAGGCUAUAAUAUGUCCAGAACUCUGCUGCACGUAUCCUCACCCCCCCCCCCGUGAGCACACCCCUCCAGUGCUGUUCAAUCUCCACUGGCUCCCCAUAUGCUCACACAUCGACUACAACAUCCUGGUUCUCACCUACCGAGCUCUAUCCACAACCCUGGAUCCAAGUACCUGUCUGAUCUCAUCCUACCUUCCUGCCCCCACACUCAGCCUUCGCUCCUCCCUUCAGCAUCCCCACAGCAGACUAAAAAUUAUGAGUGAUAGGACUUUCAGUUGUGUCCUAUGUUCUCUGGGUCCUAUGUUCUCUGGGUUCUAUGUUCUCUGUGUCCUGUGUUCUCUGUG